UGUUAAAAAAUUAAUUCAUUUUUAAUAUUAAAAACUGACGUGGUUGAUGGAAUAAACAAACAGUUACACAUGACAUGCCAUAUGUACCUCGUGCUGACAUGCAUGAACCACUUUUUAAUAGCGAUUUAAUGAAAUUUUCAGUA
rfam:Gossypium raimondii Chr08_contig_1321, whole genome shotgun sequence.